rnacentral:ncRNA from 1 species
CCCAGUAAACGGCGGCCGUAACUAUAACGGUCCUAAGGUAGCGAAAUUCCUUGUCGGGUAAGUUCCGACCUGCACGAAUGGCGUAACGAUGGCGGCGCUGUCUCCACCCGAGACUCAGUGAAAUUGAAAUCGCUGUGAAGAUGCAGUGUAUCCGCGGCUAGACGGAAAGACCCCGUGAACCUUUACUAUAGCUUUGCACUGGACUUUGAAUUUGCUUGU